ensembl:lncRNA
AUGGCCUCUUCGGGGUUUCGGGGUGACGUUUCCCAGGUGCGUGGCGGCCGUGAUCCCGUCUUCUCUGAGGCCAUCAACCAGAAGAUGCGUGUCCCGGACCGGCUGAGAGUGGGGCCAGGCAUGGGACAGGGAGGGGAAGAGGCGAGGCAGGGGCGUGCUGAGCGUCCCGCUUCCUAUAGCAUGCACAUCCCAGACAGGCUGUCUCUCACAGAUGCCCCGGACAUGAGCCCCCGUCCAUUGUUCACGCCAUCCAAGCACAACUCAGCCCUCCCCCUGGGACUUGCAUGGGAGGCACAGCAGCAAGGUGCCUGGGACAGAGACCCCUACAUGAGGGAACCAGUGCAGAGUCCCCUGCGGAGGUCCUACAGUGACCAGGCUUUUGGCAGGAGUGACCCUGACACCCCCACCUCCAAACAGGCACUGCACACCCCCACCUUUCGUGGCGGUGCAGGACGCACCCCUAAGCGCUCCGCUGCUGCUGCAAACCCCCUGCCCAUGCCCCUGGGGCUCCCUGCCAUCCCACCCAGCCACCUGUCCCCAACGACCAUGCUACAGGCCGCCAAGGAACUGGGCCAACAGGCCUCACAGCGCCUCCUGCAGACUGUCACACAGAAAUACAGGUUCAGUUAUCCUGAACAUCCAACGACUGCUGUGGUCGAGGCACCCCCUGUGUACGUUGAACCAGCCAAGAAAAGUGCCAUGCAGGACUCUUGGAUGAGCCCAGAUGAUGAGGGAAGUGCCGCAGCUGUGGAGUUCAUCGUACUUAGGAGACAGGUAAGCAGGCUAAUUACCCCCUUACUGUUGCUGUACUCUUUGGUUCAGUCCAUGCCGCCAGGUUGA